rnacentral:rRNA from 1 species
CUAUGGCUCAGAUUGAACGCUGGCGGCGUGCUUAACACAUGCAAGUCGAGCGAGGGCAUUUGGCUUCGGCUGGAUGACCGAGCGGCGGACGGGUGAGUAACGCGUGAACGAUCUGUCCCUAACAGGGGGAUACCACUUGGAAACAGGUGCUAAUACCGCAUAAGACCACAGUGCUGCAUGGCACAGGGGUAAAAGGAGCAAUCCGGUGAGGGGUGAGUUCGCGUCCGAUUAGCCAGUUGCGGGGUAACGGCCCACCAAAGCGACGAUCGGUAGCCGACCUGAGAGGGUGAUCGGCCACAUUGGAACUGAGAGACGGUCCAAACUCCUACGGGAGGCAGCAGUGGGGAAUAUUGGGCAAAUGGGCGAAAGCCUGACCCAGCAACGCCGCGUGAAGGAAGAAGGUUUUCGGAUUGUAAACUUCUGUCCUAAGAGACGAAGGAAGUGACGGUAACUUAGGAGGAAGCCCCGGCUAACUACGUGCCAGCCGCGGC